rnacentral:rRNA from 1 species
UACGAAGGGGGCUAGCGUUGUUCGGAAUUACUGGGCGUAGAGCGCGUGUAGGCGGGUCUUUAAGUCAGGGGUGAAAUGCCCAGGCUCAACCUUGGAACUGCCUUUGAUACUGAAGAUCUUGAGUCCGGGAGAGGUGAGUGGAAUUGCGAGUGUAGAGGUGAAAUUCGUAGAUAUUCGCAAGAACACCAGUGGCGAAGGCGGCUCACUGGCCCGAUACUGACGCUGAGGCACGAAAGCGUGGGGAGCAAACAGG